rnacentral:rRNA from 1 species
AGAAUGAACGCUGGCGGCGUGCCUAACACAUGCAAGUCGAACGCGAAAGCGACCUUCGGGUCGCAAGUAGAGUGGCGAACGGGUGAGUAACACGUGGGUAACCUGCCCUGGAGUGGGGAACAACUUGGGGAAACUCGAGCUAAUACCGCAUACGUUCCGAGGAUCUCGAUCCUCGAAAGAAAGGUAGCCUCUGAUUCAAGCUGCCGCUCCUGGAGGGACCCGCGCCCGAUUAGCUAGUUGGUGGGGUAAUGGCCUACCAAGGCGACGAUCGGUAGCCGGCCUGAGAGGGCGAUCGGCCACACUGGAACUGAGACACGGUCCAGACUCCUACGGGAGGCAGCAGUGGGGAAUAUUGCGCAAUGGGCGAAAGCCUGACGCAGCAACGCCGCGUGAAGGAUGAAGGCCUUCGGGUCGUAAACUUCUGUCAGGUGGGGAGAAAGCUGGCCGGUUAAUAGCUGGUUAGUUUGACGGUACCACCACAGGAAGCCCCGGCUAACUCCGUGCCAGCAGCCGCGGUAAUACGGAGGGGGCAAGCGUUAUUCGGAUUCAUUGGGCGUAAAGGGCGCGUAGGCGGCUUGAUAAGUCAACGGUGAAAUCCCUCGGCUCAACCGAGGAACUGCCUUUGAAACUGUCUGGCUAGAGUCCGGGAGAGGGUAGCGGAAUUCCCAGUGUAGCGGUGAAAUGCGUAGAUAUUGGGAGGAACACCAGUGGCGAAGGCGGCUACCUGGACCGGUACUGACGCUGAGGCGCGAAAGCGUGGGGAGCAAACAGGAUUAGAUACCCUGGUAGUCCACGCUGUAAACGAUGGGCACUCGGUGCUGCGGGUAUCGACCCCUGCAGUGCCUUAGCUAACGCGUUAAGUGCCCCGCCUGGGGAGUACGGUCGCAAGGCUG